rnacentral:lncRNA from 1 species
AUUGGACUAACAUUGUACCUUCCUAUUUUUUUUAUUAAUUAUUUUAUAGUAUAUAUGAUGACACUAUAAAUAGACCAAGUUAUCAAUUACAUGAAUUCAAACCACAAUAACAACUAAACCAUUUCAACUUAGCUUUACACACUUUGACAAAAUAAAUCUCACUUCAAUUUCAAGUCACACCUGAUCAAUCUUUGUUUCAUAGCUCCAUUGGCUUCAUAUAUGAUUUCAUCCUUCUUCAACUGCUUUGGUAUCUCUUCAAACUCAUCAUCUCAAGUUUCUGAUUAUGCUGAAAAACCAUCUCAAUCAAAAGGUUCAUCGUCAGAGAAACCAAAGAGGAAGGAAAGUUUAAUUAAGGGAGCUCCAAUUGUAGUUUAUCAUUUCCCUGUUAACUCUUAUCUCUCACGUUUGUAAUUAUUAAUCUUUAUCCACUUCUUAUAAAGACUAUAGCAAUCAAUUCUUUUUUUUAUUUACCGACUUUUAUAAUUAAUUUUCUUUUAUUUAGUUAUUUUUAUAAAAUUACUAAUCUCCAUGGUAACUUGAUUCACAAUAAUCCAGGGUGUUCAAGCAUUCCACAAAAAUCAUAAAUAACCACAAAAUUUACACUGAAACUUUUAACAAAUGAUAGUAUAUUUAAAUUUUAUAAAAGCAACAACGGUGUGCCUAUAUCUUAUAGCGGCACUAUAAAACUUUUAAUGACUAAAGAAGCACAAUUCAAAGACUAUGUAAGAAUUGCAAAAGCAAUUAUCCAAAAUUUCUGCCUAGUAAUAGCUAUCAAAUAUUCUCAAAUUAUUUUAUAGUCAACGGAUAACGGAUAGGAAUAUCCAGAAUAAUUCAGUAUAUUUUGAAUUUGCAUAAAAACAUGAAAACUCAAACGUAGGGAUCAAAAGAUGAAAUAUAAAAUCUGUAAUGAAAAUGUAAUUUCGUUAUACUAUUUUCAGAAUUUAGAAUUAUA